GGUUACUCUCUGCCCGGGAACCUCACGCUGUCUUCCUUCUGUUUCCAGGUGGAGGCCGUCAUCCACCCCCGAUUUCUGGAAGAAUUGCUUUCCCCAGAUCCACACAUGGAUUUCUUGGCCCUAAGCCAGGAACUGGAGCAGGAGGAAGGACUCACCCUUGCCCAGCCUGCAGGAGAGG